rnacentral:rRNA from 1 species
GAUGAACGCUGGCGGCGUGCCUAAUACAUGCCAGUCGAGCGAACAGACGAGGAGCUUGCUCCUCUGACGUUAGCGGCGGACGGGUGAGUAACACGUGGAUAACCUACCUAUAAUACUGGGAUAACUUCGGGACACCGGAUCUAAUACCGGAUAAUAUAUUGAACCGCAUGGUUCAAUAGUGAAAGACGGUUUUGCUGUCACUUAUAGAUGGAUCCGCGCCUCAUUAGCUAGUUGGUAAGGUAACGGCUUACCAAGGCAACGAUGCGUAGCCGACCUGAGAGGGGGAACGGCGACACAGGAACUGAGACACGGCCCAGGGACCGACGGGAGGCAGCAGUAGGGAAGGGACCGCGAUGGGCGAAAGCCUGACGGAGCGACGGCGCGUGGGUGAUGAAGGGCUUCGGGUCGUAAAACGCUGUUAUGAGGGAAGAACAAAUGUGUAAGUAACUAUGCGCGUCUGGACGGUACCGAAACAGAAAGACCGGGCUAACUACGU